rnacentral:tRNA from 1 species
AUAUUUAUAGUAUAAUAAUUACAUUAGCUUUUCAAGCUAAAAAUAUGGAAUCUCCAUUAAAUAUC